rnacentral:misc_RNA from 1 species
UUUCCGUAGGUGAACCUGCGGAAGGGUCAUUACUGAGUGAGGGCCCCUCGGGGUCCAACCUCCCACCCGUGUUUAACGAACCUUGUUGCUUCGGCGGGCCCGCCUCACGGCCGCCGGGGGGCAUCUGCCCCCGGGCCCGCGCCCGCCGAAGCCACCUGUGAACGCUGUCUGAAGUAUGCAGUCUGAGACAAUUAUUAAAUUAAUUAAAACUUUCAACAACGGAUCUCUUGGUUCCG